AUUGAACGCUGGCGGCAGGCCUAACACAUGCAAGUCGAGCGGAUGAAGGGAGCUUGCUCCUGGAUUCAGCGGCGGACGGGUGAGUAAUGCCUAGGAAUCUGCCUGGUAGUGGGGGAUAACGUCCGGAAACGGGCGCUAAUACCGCAUACGUCCUGAGGGAGAAAGUGGGGGAUCUUCGGACCUCACGCUAUCAGAUGAGCCUAGGUCGGAUUAGCUAGUUGGUGGGGUAAAGGCCUACCAAGGCGACGAUCCGUAACUGGUCUGAGAGGAUGAUCAGUCACACUGGAACUGAGACGCGGUCCAGACUCCUACGGGAGGCAGCAGUGGGGAAUAUUGGACAAUGGGCGAAAGCCUGAUCCAGCCAUGCCGCGUGUGUGAAGAAGGUCUUCGGAUUGUAAAGCACUUUAAGUUGGGAGGAAGGGCAGUAAGUUAAUACCUUGCUGUUUCGACGUUACCAACAGAAUAAGCACCGGCUAACUUCGUG
rnacentral:rRNA from 1 species